GCAAUAAUAAUACUUUUUAUGAUUGUUUUAUUUUUAUUCUGAAUGAAAACGUAAUAUGACGUAUUUCCGGUGAAACAAGCCUCAGAACAUCCGGUCAGGCCGUGUUUCAUAUCCAGGGAUAUAUAGUAUCUAUGAUCAGAUCGAUGCUUUUCAAGAUGGCAGCCCCGCGUGGACUAUCUGACAUGUUUUGUUAAAGAAAAUCAUCUUAAUCUGACUCUUUAAGAGGAAUCUUGUUGGCUGUAUACACUAGGGCUAAAUCACUGGAUGUUAUGCUAUUUUGAACCAUUUAUUACUUAAACAUGAGUAGGAUACACGAUAUUUUGAGUAAAAAGUAGGCACAUGUAGAUACACAAUCAAGCUAAAUAAAUUAAUUGAGCAGAUACAUGACUGGAAAAUAAAACGACUGACACCUUCCAAUUAAAGUUUACCACAUCUUGCCUACAAAAUCUCUAUGAUACAAAAGUAGAGACCUGGUGAAGACGAUGAGAAAUCAGGCGUAAAAAUGGUUCACUACAUGUGAUUGUAACUAUGUUUUUAAUUAGAGUGGAUGUAUUAGUGAUCAUGAUGAUGAAGAUAUUGUACUGAGAGACUUAUGAAUGAUAGUCACAAGUGUGGUAAAAUAGUUUAUUGAUUAUGUGUGUAAUUGUUACUUUUCCUUAGAAUUUUUGAUGCGGAAGAUUAUUCUGGAAAUAUUAGUAUAGUAGGUGCUCCUUUAAUUCUUAAUUUAUUAAUUUAGCAAGGCCAUUAGUAUACAUUCUAUAGUUACCUUAUCUCACUAAGUUUCAAGACAAGAUAAUCUUAGGUUUGUUUAAUUUCAUGUGAAAAGCUAAAUUCAUUAUUCAGGUUGUGAUGAACUGAAACUUUCUUGUUUAAAGCUCUUGUUAAGUUCACUUCAAAUAGCAUUGAAUUUUUUUGUGAACCUGCCUUCAUCAUGCUGGUUAAGGAAGUUAUGUUAUGGAACUAAGCUUUGUAGGACUAUGUGUGACAAGAUACCUUCGAAAGAUCUGCUUCACUACAUGGAACCCGAGAGUUCACUAAUGUUGGAGAUUUUGGGAAAUUAAUUUCUCAGUAAUGUGUCUUAAGUUACAAAACAUGAAGUGUCUUACUUGUGGAACAUUGGUAGACUAUGAUAAAGAAAACAAUUAUAAUCUUUUUUUCUUUUAAUA